rnacentral:rRNA from 1 species
CCUGGCUCAGGAUGAACGCUGGCGGCGUGCCUAAUACAUGCAAGUCGAACGAGUUCUCGUUGAUGAUCGGUGCUUGCACCGAGAUUCAACAUGGAACGAGUGGCGGACGGGUGAGUAACACGUGGGUAACCUGCCCUUAAGUGGGGGAUAACAUUUGGAAACAGAUGCUAAUACCGCAUAGAUCCAAGAACCGCAUGGUUCUUGGCUGAAAGAUGGCGUAAGCUAUCGCUUUUGGAUGGACCCGCGGCGUAUUAGCUAGUUGGUGAGGUAACGGCUCACCAAGGCGAUGAUACGUAGCCGAACUGAGAGGUUGAUCGGCCACAUUGGGACUGAGACACGGCCCAAACUCCUACGGGAGGCAGCAGUAGGGAAUCUUCCACAAUGGACGCAAGUCUGAUGGAGCAACGCCGCGUGAGUGAAGAAGGCUUUCGGGUCGUAAAACUCUGUUGUUGGAGAAGAAUGGUCGGCAGAGUAACUGUUGUCGGCGUGACGGUAUCCAACCAGAAAGCCACGGCUAACUACGUGCCAGCAGCCGCGGUAAUACGUAGGUGGCAAGCGUUAUCCGGAUUUAUUGGGCGUAAAGCGAGCGCAGGCGGUUUUUUAAGUCUGAUGUGAAAGCCCUCGGCUUAACCGAGGAAGCGCAUCGGAAACUGGGAAACUUGAGUGCAGAAGAGGACAGUGGAACUCCAUGUGUAGCGGUGAAAUGCGUAGAUAUAUGGAAGAACACCAGUGGCGAAGGCGGCUGUCUGGUCUGUAACUGACGCUGAGGCUCGAAAGCAUGGGUAGCGAACAGGAUUAGAUAC